AGAAAACCCUAAUGUUGCUGAAGCAACUCGGCUUCUGAUUUCCCAAAUACUUGAGCAGUUCUGUGCUGCUGAGGAUCAAGAUUGUUGAAGAGAGAUCUAAGCUUUCAAUUGCAUCCUCUAGCUAGGGAUGUCAUUACAUCCACUGUAGAAUCUCACAAGGUUUUUCUUAUUUUUGGUGAGACUGGGUGUGGAAAGACCAGGGUUACUAGUUCUUGCUUUAUUUUCUUUGUGAUAUACUUAAUAUAACCUGUCAGGAACUUGUUUUCAGAAAGAAUUUUUCCUCCCUAGUCCCUAUGAUA
rnacentral:misc_RNA from 1 species